UUAUGGAGGUAGUAGGUGGUAUUUAAAAGGGAGAUGAGUUCAUUUAUUCAUUUACAUGUUACCAUAUAUUUAGGG
ensembl:miRNA